UUAGUUUUGCGCUUCUGAGCCCCUGCUGCCCAGUUCUCUGGGCAGUGGCUUGGCCCACUCCAUCUCUGAGCACCCCCCCCCCCACUUCCUUCCUGCAGCCUCUGCCAUCCCUCGGCCACUUCUCUUGCCAGGACCUUUUGACUCGCGCGAUUGGGGGAGGGGAGCAAACUGUCUCUACUAACAGAAGAGAGAAGGGAGGUGUGCUCCUGCCUGACUGCAUCCACUUAACCCACUCUCCAAGAUCUAGAAUCAGAUUUCAACCAUAUGGAAUCAUCCACGAUGCAGCAGAUGGGUUUACAAGUCUCUUGGUCUCUUCGUGUAACUAACAGCCAAGAAGU
rnacentral:lncRNA from 12 species